rnacentral:snoRNA from 1 species
UCUCUGGUGUCUCAAUAGAUCCUGCUUACCCUUCACUGUGUGUUCAGUGGAAUAGAAAGGAAGGGAAGAAGUUUGUGGCUGAGGGA